rnacentral:tmRNA from 1 species
CGUCUUGAACGCGGCCCCGUGCACGGCUAUAUCUGUCGUGUCCCGGAAACGGGACUAUGGGCAUAAACGCGCGUGAAAUAAGCGGAUCGGACCCGGGGGCGGUACCCGGCGGCUCCACCAAUAUCCCGGCGUUGGCGGGACAUGGGGCCGAAACAGGAUCGACGAACGUGUAAAGACGUGGCUUUGUCCCGGUGAGGUACCACCGUUAUCGGUCCGUAAAGCAUAAUUGCCAACGACAAUAAUGCUCCGGUUGCAGUUGCCGCGUAAGCGGUAAUCAGACCGAAAUCUGAAGUCCUUGAGCCUAGCAGUUCAAGGCGGGGUUCGCAGGCACCUGGCAACAGAAGCCUGCACU